UAUUAGAAAUGGGUAUCAUUAAUUAUUAAUUAAGUAAAAAAACAAAUAACAAAAAAAAAUGGAAGGGACAUUACAAAGCCUAUAAUGGGCUGUUGGAACAAAAAAGAAGGGCUUAAGGCCUAAAAAGGCCUAACCUUGGACGUAAGCAGUAGGAGUAAAAAUUGCACCGGAACAGAACGUUGUUCUGUUACACAGAAAACGCUGCAAACACAGGCAACAAUAAAAGAAAAUUUAGGGUUCUUUAUCAAUCACUAAUUCUUGAACUCAGG
rnacentral:lncRNA from 1 species